rnacentral:rRNA from 1 species
AUUGAACGCUGGCGGCAGGCCUAACACAUGCAAGUCGAGCGGAUGAAGGGAGCUUGCUCCUGGAUUCAGCGGCGGACGGGUGAGUAAUGCCUAGGAAUCUGCCUGGUAGUGUGGUAUAACGGCCGGAAACGGGCGCUAAUACGGCAUACGUCCUGAGGGAGAAAGGGUGGGAUCUUCGGACCUCACGCUAUCACAUGAGCCUAGGUCGGAUUAGCUAGUUGGUGGGGUAAAGGCCUACCAAGGCGACGAUCCGUAACUGGUCUGAGAGGAUGAUCAGUCACACUGGAACUGAGACACGGUCCAGACUCCUACGGGAGGCAGCAGUGGGGAAUAUUGGACAAUGGGCGCAAGCCUGAUCCAGCCAUGCCGCGUGUGUGAAGAAGGUCUUCGGAUUGUAAAGCCCUUUAAGUUGGGAGGAAGGGCAGUAAGUUAAUACCUUGCUGUUUUGACGUUACCAAAAGAAUAAGCACCGGCUAACUUCGUG